rnacentral:tRNA from 1 species
GGCGGCAUCGCCAAGUGGUAAGGCAGAGGUCUGCAAAACCUCUAUCCCGGGUUCGACUCCCGGUGCCGCCUCCA